AAAAAUUAAGGGGGGAUGGGCUUUAGGGACUUCCAGUGCUUCAACUUGGCGGUGCUGGGGAAGCACGGCUGGCGCCUACUGACACAUCCUAGCUCCUUAAGUGCCCGAGUUUUGAAAGGAAAAUAUUUCCCACAAACUGAUUUUCUUCAUGCAACGGUUCCCGCUCGUUCCUCAGCAACUUGGCGGGCUAUAGUGGCGGGC
rnacentral:rRNA from 1 species